AUUGAACGCUGGCGGCAUGCCUUACACAUGCAAGUCGAACGGUAACGGGCCUUCGGGUGCCGACGAGUGGCGAACGGGUGAGUAAUGUAUCGGAACGUACCUUUCAGUGGGGGAUAACGUAGCGAAAGUUACGCUAAUACCGCACAUUCUGUGCGCAGGAAAGCAGGGGAUCGCAAGACCUUGCGCUGAUUGAGCGGCCGAUAUCAGAUUAGCUAGUUGGUGAGGUAAAGGCUCACCAAGGCGACGAUCUCUAGCGGGUCUGAGAGGAUGAUCCGCCACACUGGAACUGAGACACGGUCCAGACUCCUACGGGAGGCAGCAGUGGGGAAUUUUGGACAAUGGGGGCAACCCUGAUCCAGCCAUGCCGCGUGAGUGAAGAAGGCUUUCGGGUUGUAAAGCUCUUUCGGCCGGGAAGAAAUCGUAUCAGCUAAUACCUGGUGCGGAUGACGGUACCGGCAUAAGAAGCACCGGCUAACUACGUGCCAGCAGCCGCGGUAAUACGUAGGGUGCGAGCGUUAAUCGGAAUUACUGGGCGUAAAGCGUGCGCAGGCGGUUUUGUAAGACAGGCGUAAAAUCCCCGGGCUCAACCUGGGAACUGCGUUUGUGACUGCAAGGCUAGAGUACGGCAGAGGGGGGUGGAAUUCCACGUGUAGCAGUGAAAUGCGUAGAGAUGUGGAGGAACACCAAUGGCGAAGGCAGCCCCCUGGGUCGAUACUGACGCUCAUGCACGAAAGCGUGGGUAGCAAACAGGAUUAGAUACCCUGGUAGUCCACGCCCUAAACGAUGUCAACUAGGUG
rnacentral:rRNA from 1 species